rnacentral:rRNA from 1 species
AUUGAACGCUAGCGGGAUGCCUUACACAUGCAAGUCGAACGGCAGCGCGGACUUCGGUCUGGCGGCGAGUGGCGAACGGGUGAGUAAUGUAUCGGAACGUGCCCAGUAGCGGGGGAUAACUACUCGAAAGAGUAGCUAAUACCGCAUACGCCCUACGGGGGAAAGGGGGGGAUCGCAAGACCUCUCACUAUUGGAGCGGCCGAUGUCGGAUUAACUAGUUGGUGAGGUAAAGGCUCACCAAGGCGACGAUCCGUAGCUGGUUUGAGAGGACGACGAGCCACACGGGGACUGGGACACGGCCCAGACUCCUACGUGAGGCAGCAGUGGGGAAUUUUGGACAAUGGUGGAAACCCUGAUUCAGCCAUUCCGCGUGUGCGAUGAAGGCCUUCGGGUUGUAAAGCACUUUUGGCAGGAAAGAAAUCGCAUCAAUUAAUACUUGGUGUGGAUGACGGUACCUGCAGAAUAAGCACCGGCUAACUACGUGCCAGCCGCCGCCGUAA